rnacentral:guide_RNA from 1 species
AAUCAUGAACAUCCAUAUAACUAGGGCAGUGGUUUGUUGAUUGUAGUUAU